GAUGAACGCUGGCGGUAUGCUUAACACAUGCAAGUCGAACGGUCACUUCGGUGAUAGUGGCGGACGGGUGAGUAACGCGUGAGAAUCUGUCUUCAGGUCGGGGACAACAGUUAGAAAUGACUGCUAAUACCGGAUGUGCCUUUGGGUGAAAGAUUUAUUGCCUGAAAAAGAGCUCGCGUCAGAUUAGCUAGUAGGUGGUGUAAGAGACUACCUAGGCUCCGAUCUGUAGCUGGUCUGAGAGGACGAUCAGCCACACUGGAACUGAGACACGGUCCAGACUCCUACGGGAGGCAGCAGUGGGGAAUGUUCCGCAAUGGGCGAAAGCCUGACGGAGCAAUACCGCGUGAGGGACGAAGGCUUUUGGGUCGUAAACCUCUUUUCUCAAGGAAGAUGAUGACGGUACUUGAGGAAUAAGCAUCGGCUAACUCGGUG
rnacentral:rRNA from 1 species